rnacentral:rRNA from 1 species
GACGAACGCUGGCGGCGUGCCUAACACAUGCAAGUCGAGCGAGUGAAUCUCCUUCGGGAGUGAAGCUAGCGGCGGACGGGUGAGUAACACGUGGGCAACCUGCCUCAUAGAGGGGAAUCGCCUUUCGAAAGGAAGAUUAAUACCGCAUAAGAUUGUAGCGUCGCAGUAAUUAGCAAUUAAAGGAGCAAUCCGCUAUGAGAUGGGCCCGCGGCGCAUUAGCUAGUUGGUGAGGUAACGGCUCACCAAGGCGACGAUGCGUAGCCGACCUGAGAGGGUGAUCGGCCACAUUGGGACUGAGACACGGCCCAGACUCCUACGGGAGGCAGCAGUGGGGAAUAUUGCACAAUGGGGGAAACCCUGAUGCUGCAACGCCGCGUGAGUGAUGACGGCCUUCGGGUUGUAAAGCUCUGUCUUCAGGGACGAUAAUGACGGUACCUGAGGAGGAAGCCACGGCUAACUACGUGCCAGCCGCCGCAGUAA